CCUACGGGUGGCAGCAGUGAGGAAUAUUGGUCAAUGGACGCAAGCCUGAACCAGCCAUGCCGCGUGCAGGAAGACGGCUCUAUGAGUUGUAAACCGCUUUUGUACGAGGGUAAAGGCAGAUACGCGUAUCUGUCUGAAAGUAUCGUACGAAAAAGGAACGGCUAAAUCCGUGCCAGCAGCCGCGGUAAUACGGAGGAUUCAAGCGUUAUCCGGAUUUAUUGGGUUUAAAGGGUGCGUAGGGGGUCGGAUAAGUUAGAGGUGAAAUCCCGAGGCGCAACUUCGGAAUUGCCUCUGAUACUGUUCGGCUAGAGAGUAGUAGCGGUAGGCGGAAUGUAUGGUGUAGCGGUGAAAUGCUUAGAGAUCAUACAGAACACCGAUUGCGAAGGCAGCUUACCAGGCUACUUCUGACGUUGAGGCACGAAAGCGUGGGGAGCAAACAGGAUUAGAUACCCGUGUAGUC
rnacentral:rRNA from 1 species